UCGCAGCUCCGCGAAACUGACAUCUCACCAUCCAAUUGGCCUGGUGCCCAGAAGCACCCUGGGAAAAAAUUUGAAUGCUCUUGGCAGUUGGGAUUCAGAUCUUGACGGUUGUAACUGAUGGACUGGGCUUGGGGAACUGCUGAUGAAAGUCAAAUUCCUUAGAGAAAAAAAAACCAUCCAAAUGUAGGUGAAGCUGUAGGUGAUAACAGCUUCCUAGAAUUUGUUAUGAGAGGACUGACUACUUGGAAGGACUCAGAGAAACCCCCAGCCCCCUCAUACGUCCCUCAUGGUCACCAUGUUCCCUCAAGAUAGCCACCCCAAGGAGAAUCAUCCCUGGGCCUCGGAGGAGAGAGAAAAACAAAAGGCCAUCAGCAACAGAUUGAAAAUUUGAAGUUCAAAGGGGUCUCCAAGAAUGUCAGCCGGGGUCAGAUGAGAAGGGAGUUUGACUCAAAAGACAUUUAUGGCACUUCUGCUCCAUGCCAAAAAACGCACUGAAGUCUGGAAGUGUGUGACACGACAGAGGAAGAGACUUAGGGCUAAGGCAGGCCUAGGAAGAGGCCACCUUCAGCAUAAGGUGGUGACGCGCUAGGAGGGAGGUGAUGUGAGACUCUCUGAUCUGGGUCCUGCCCGUAUCCUGGGGAUACGUCUUCUGUGUGACACUGGGUCAGGACCAGGCGCUGGCCAUGAGGAGCUUCUGGUACACAGAACAGGUGGUAGAGCCAAGGACACAGCCCAGUGAGCCUGCUCAGCGCAGCAGCCUGCCUUAGACCCAAAGAAGCGACAAUUCUUCAGAUACAUAGACGCCAUGAAUCACACGGGAAAACAAGUAGUGUGUCACGUAUCUCUGAGAGCACCUUCUCUUGGAAGUUAAGUCUGAUUUAGAAUUGAAGGCUCAUCCUAGUUUUAUUGCUUUGGGGACUUAGAAUUGCACGUCUCUCUUUCUAACAAUACAUUGACAUUUUCAAGGACAAUGUAUAUCUGGAGAUUAUCAUUAUGUACUUGAAUUAAUCUACUUGAAAAAUGUGUCAGAAAAAGCAUUUCAUGUCCUAUCCCAGACUGGCCGGGACUGGGUUCCAGAUUUUUUUUUUUUUUUCUGAAUGGCAUGUGAAAAUAUUUUAGCUGCGAGGACUUUUUGACAGACAACAGUUUUAACUCCUGCUGCAUAGGGGAUGGAAUUGUUGGCACUUCAAGGAAAGGAUUGUGUUUUUUACCUCCAUUUCACAGAUGAGGUAAAUGAAGGCAUCAAAAAAUUCAGUAUCUUCCCUGAGGUCUUGCCUGCCCUCAGUUGUCAAGUUGGUGGACUCAACAUGAAGGUCAAGCGUCUCAUUUUACAGAUGAGCUAACUGAAGAAUGAAGAAGUACCAAGAUAACCUGGGUUCUCCAUUCCAGACUUUGAAGCCUGGUGCUUCUGAGCUCAUGACCAGAAUGCUUUGUGUGACAUGUGGGUUGUCCUUGAGGAGAAGCCUCUGCUUUGGUGUCUCCCCUUCCCAAUGCAUCCUGCAUACAGUCACCCUGUAACACCUGACCCCCCUUCCCCCAACACACAUAAGCACCCCAGAAUGUGGUUUCCCAAGAGCUACACACAAUUGUCUCUGACUCUCUCUCUUCUGAUCUCUAUAAUUUCUUAGGCAUGGACCCCACAAUCCUCACUAGUAUACCUACAAGCUGUAUGCUUCUCUAUCUGUGUCAUUAUUUGCUAUUUCUCACUUGUCAGCAUGCCCUCUUCCUGCCAGAGCCUCAGGUCCCGAUACUAUUUGUCUUUAAGAUCCACCCCCAAUGCCACCUCCUUCAUGAAGUCAUUGGAUUGCCAGAGUUGUCUUGUCACUCUCACUGAUGGAUCGAGGUCAGGGUAGGGAAGAAAAGGGAAGGAAGAAAAUGGUGUGGGACUCAGAAUAGGAGACUCGAAGCUUGGAGACAGGGGCAGCCAUGCUGGAUCCCAAGACUAACCGACAGAGAGUCACAGCUUAGGAAGUGCUUCCUGUGUCUUGAAGCUGUGCAGCAUCACCGUCUCCUUCAGUCCUCACAGUGAAUCCUCAGGCUGCUGCAGCUGGGAUUCAAUCCAGUUGUGCCUCAAGUCAAAUCUGUGUUCUCCCUAACUGUUGUGUUGUCUUCUAAGACAAUUGGCCAUUGGGUAGGAAAAGAAUCUGACCAUCCUCAAAAUGGAGGAUUAAAGUGAUGAAACAAAA